CAGCCGCCGCGGGAAUACAGAGGGUGCGAGCGUUAAUCGGAUUUACUGGGCGUAAAGCGCGCGUAGGUGGUUCGCCAAGUUGGAUGUGAAAUCCCCGGGCUCAACCUGGGAACUGCAUCCAAAACUGGCGAGCUAGAGUAUGGUAGAGGGUGGUGGAAUUUCCUGUGUAGCGGUGAAAUGCGUAGAUAUAGGAAGGAACAUCAGUGGCGAAGGCGACCACCUGGACUGAUACUGACACUGAGGUGCGAAAGCGUGGGGAGCAAACAGGAUUAGAUACCCCGGUAGUCCCUGUCUCUUAUAC
rnacentral:rRNA from 1 species